rnacentral:rRNA from 1 species
AUAGCGUAUAUUAAAUUUGUUGCAGUUGAAAAGUUCGUAGUUGGAUUUCUGGGUUUGGGUGGUGGUUCGCCGCAAGGUGUACACUGUCACUGGAGCCCAUCCUCUCGAAGACGAGGCGUGUUCUUAACCGGGUGCGUCAUGGACUCGAGACUUUUACUUUGAAAAAAUUAGAGUGUUCAAAGCAGGCUUACGCUUGAAUACUUCAGCAUGGAAUAAUGGAAUAGGACUUUGGUUUUAUUUUGUUGGUUUCUAAGACCGAAGUAAUGAUUAAUAGGGACAGUUGGGGGCAUUAGUAUUUAAUUGUCAGAGGUGAAAUUCUUGGAUUUAUGAAAGACUAACUUCUG